AAUAAAAAAUAAAAAAAAAAAAUUAUUUACAAACAGUUUAUAAGUAAUUUUUAACUGAAAAAUUAAUUAUAACUAUCUUCUUAAAAUAAUUCUGGUCAAAUAACACUCUCUCUCUCUUCUCAUUUAUUCCAAGAUCCCUCUCUCUUGACAGUUUUUUUUUUUUUUUUUUUUUUGCUUUGCUUCUAGUAGAGGAAGCUCCAAAUAGCAGAUGGAUUUCCAUAUGUUGCCCUUGUUCUUUGCGGCUAGUUUUUGUUUGUAGGAGAAGAGAUGAAAUGCUUCAAUAACCAUGAAUUCUCUUAAACUAUCUCUUCUAUGUGCCACUACCCUAAUUAUUACACUUAUCCAUCUUCUCUCUCCAGUUAUUUGCUCCAAUCAAAACCAACCUUCAGACACGACUCGGGGUUUACUAUUUGAAGGGAAGACCAGAUUGGGUUCAACACCUCCCAGUUGCCACAACAAGUGCAACCAGUGUCACCCCUGUCUCGCGGUCCAAGUACCAACCCUGCCUCUGCCUACGGCCUAUCUUGACUCUUCAUCUUCAAUAUCUUCGGCAUCUUCAUCUUAUUCUUCAAAUAACAACAAGUAUUCUAAUUACAAGCCUCUUGGUUGGAAAUGCAGAUGUGGUGACCACUUCUUCAACCCUUAGCCUUAGGAUAUGACAAUCUUCAAUUAAUCAUUUUUCAUUCCCUUAAUUAUUCAAGAUUUGUAUGAUUGAGAUAUUUCUAUAUAUGGGUUUUGGUUUUUAUCAUCAAUAGUAUAGUGGGGUCUUGUAAUUUUUAUUAUUUUUUUUGUUCAUAUGUUUGGAGUUAUGUAGGUUGAAUAUUGGAAAAAUUAUAAAUCAGUGGAAAGAUCUUUAGUACAA